AUUGAACGCUGGCGGCGGGCCUAAUACAUGCAAGUCGAGCGGAUGAAGGGAGCUUGUUCCUGGCUUCAGUUACCGACGGGCGAGUAAUGCCCAGGAAUCUGCCUUGCCUUUAGGGAUAGCGUCCGGUCACGGGCGCUAAUCCCGCAUACGACCUGAUAGUGAACGUGGUGGUUCUUCGGACCACGCGCUAUCUGCUGAGCCUAGGCCGGAUUAGCUAGUUGGUAGGGUAAGGGCUUACCAAGGCGACGAUCCGUAGCUGGUCUGAGAGGAUGAUCAGCCACACUGGAACUGAGACACGGUCCAGACUCCUACGGGAGGCAGCAGUGGGGAAUCUUGGACAAUGGGCGAAAGCCUGACCCAGCCAUGCCGCGUGUGUGAUGAAGGUCUUCGGAUCGUAAAACUCUGUUAGUUGGGAAGAAGGGAUGUAAGAGUAUCUAUUCAUGUCUUGACGGUACCUAAUCAAAAAGCCCCGGCUAACUUCGUG
rnacentral:rRNA from 1 species